UACGGAGGAUCCAAGCGUUAUCCGGAUUUAUUGGGUUUAAAGGGUGCGUAGGCGGCAGAUUAAGUUAGAGGUGAAAUUCCGAGGCUCAACCUUGGCACUGCCUCUGAUACUGGUUUGCUAGCGAGUAGAUGCUGUAGGCGGAAUGUGUGGUGUAGCGGUGAAAUGCGUAGAUAUUAGGAGGAACACCAGUGGCGAAGGCGGCUUACUGGACGAUGACUGACGCUGAGGCUCGAAAGCGUGGGGAGCAAACAGG
rnacentral:rRNA from 1 species